AUCUUAAAAGAGUUUGAUCCUGGCUCCGAAUGAAUGCUAGUGGUCGGCCUAACACAUGCAAGUUUAAUAUUUUUAGUGAAAUAUAAAAAAUAUAGCGUACGGGUGAGUAAUGCGUAAAAAUUUAUCCUAAAUUAUGGCAAAUUCCUUCGAAAAUUAAUGAUUGACUUAGGAAAAGUUUACGUAGGAUUAGGUAGUUGGUAGUUCUAAAGACAUACCAAGCCCACGAUCCUUAAUUGGUCUUUGAGGAUGAUCAGUCACACUGGAACAGAAAUAAGGUCCAGACUCUCUAAGAGGCAGCAGUGAGGAAUCUUAGGCAAUGAGCGAAAGCUUGACCUAGCCAGGCCACAUGUGAGAAGAAAACUAUAUUAGGUUGUAAAUCACUUUGUAAAGUCCAGAACACAUAAGAUCAAAUUUUACAAUCAAAGCUCCGGCUAAUUUCGUGCCAGCAGCCGCGGUAAAACGGGAGGAGCAAGUAUUAUUCGAAUUAACUGGGCGUAAAGGGUGCGUAGGUUGUGCAUUAAGUAGUAAAAAAAAUUAAAAUUUUAUGUUUGUAAAAACUUACUAAACUGAUACACUAGAGCAUAGUAAAAGAUUAUGGAACUUCGAAAGUAGUGAUAAAAUACGAUAAUAUUCAAAAGAACUCCAAAAGUGAAAACAAUAAUCUGGACUAUAGCUGACACUGAGGCACGAAAGCGUAGGGAUCAAAAGGGAUUAGAUACCCCUGUAGUCUACGCCCUCAACCAUGAGUGUUUGUCAUUGAAAUAUAUUUCAGAGGCGUAGCUAAGGCGUUAAACACUCCGCCUGGGGAUUACGAUCGCAAGAUUAAAACUCAAAGGAAUUGACGGGAACCUGCACAAGCGGUGGAGCAUGUGGUUUAAAUCGAAACAACGCGCAAAACCUUACCAACUUUUGUAUGUCAUUUAGUGUCACAGGUGUUGCAUGGCUGUCGUCAGUCCGUGCCGUGAGGCGUUUGGUUAAUUCCAGCAAACGGACGAAACUUUUAUAUCAUAUAUUUAUUUAUGAUAAACUGCUUGGAACAUCCUUGAGGAAGGAAAAAAUGACGUCAAGUCCUCAUGACCCUGAUAAGUUGGGCUACUUUCAUGUGCUACAAAGUAAUAUUUACAGAAAGAAGCAAAAGCGUGAGCUGGAGCGAAAUCUACAAAAGAUAUUUAAUUCGGAUUAUUCUCUGCAACUCGAGAGUAUGAAGUCGUAAUCGCUAGUAAUCGCGAAUCAGCAUUGUCGCGGUGAAUAUGUUCUCAGGUUUUGUACACACCGCCCGUCACACUACGGAAAUUUAUUCUACUUGAAGACAAAAGCCGUCAAAGUCUUUUUUCCAUGGUAGCGAAAGGACUAGAGUGAAGUCGUAACAAGGUAGCCGUAGGGGAACCUGCGGCUGGAAAAAUUUAAUA
rnacentral:rRNA from 1 species